CCGGUUCUUACGGGCCGAGUCGUUAUCAACGAUUUCUUGUGUUUUACCUCAAAGACCCCAAGAGAAGGGGGCGAACUGUCUUGACAGUCGGUUCACCAUCGCUUAUGAAAGAUCUCUCUCAGAUACAGUGAAUGUAUAAAUGAUAAAUUUGGGUCCUGUCAUCAGAACAACCCCAGCAGUCAAUACAGCGCCAUCCUGCCGCCUUACUGUCGCCCCCACCAUCGUCAUGGAGACCAUGUUGACCGAACCAUGGUGUCCCUGUAGACUCGUCACAAAGUCUGUCACCACCCAGUCACCAUGGCGCCCAACUUGGCCGAGACCCGACGGCGGCAGGGAGCACCUUGUCACCGUGGUAACACGUCUGGGAUGUAACGGCCCCCCCUAGGAAACACACACACACACACACACACACACACACACACACACACACACACCACCCCAUAUGAAAGUUCUUUCUGCAGGCAGAACACAUUUCAUGUUAAAAAUUAUUGUAGCCAUCGACUCUGACGGAUGCGGCUUUGAGAUGAAAGAGUCCAGACAUGUCAAGAAAUUCACUGUGAGAUUUGAUGAAAGAUCGCUCGAGCUAGAGUUUUUGUGCUAUUGCUAUUGAAUGUAACCAGUUUAAGGCCCCUUUUAAACUAGUUUGGCAGUUCCAGUGACUUUCAUUCAUGUCUCCUUCAUCUUUGCUAAAGCAAUUAUUAGCUCGUUUAUAUUAUGAAAAUUAACAUAUUAUUUUGACACUGCUGUGAUAUUAGAUGCAAUAGACUAUAUCACUUAUAACUCUUCUCUAUGGCUGUUGCAUUUGUGCUGUAUUUUCUCAAAUUGAUUCAUCAGUCCUAGAUAAUCAUUUGAAUACACAAAAACACUUUAAGCCAAAAGUUGUUUUUUUUGGCGUUGAUUCGAUACCAUGGAUGGAUUGAACAGACAAGAUAUAUCCAAUGAAACAUGAGCUAAGUUUGAAUAUUGGAAGUUCAAAAUAGAAGCCUGGAUUUGUUGCUCGACAACAAAGAGCAACAUCAAAUUGAAAAGCCAGUGAGUCCAUGUUGUCACAGUGCUCUGCUCCAGGCGUUCAUGGCCUGGAGCAGACAACCCCACAUGGUGCUGGUCUGUCAAUGAACCUGCACAGGGACAGGAAAUAUCUUUACCUGAGAUGGAUAAAGAAGGACAUCAUUUAUUUUUUAAUGCCAGAGCUAGUUGAUCCAUAGGAGUGUAUGCAACCAGUGUUGCCACACUGAAGACUUUGUUUAUGUUUUAAGGAGUGAUAUGAUGUCACCCAAUGCAGCCCAAUACCUGGUGCUUGUAGUAUAUAGUAUAUUCAGCGGUUAACCUUUGUUGCUCGCAUGUCAUUUGUUCAUACAGUGUAUGAACACAUAAAAGGACUUUGAUUCCAGUUUUAUAAUGCUCUCAGUCCUCACAUUUAUACAACAAGAACAAAAAAGAAAACUGAACAAACAAGUAUGGAUGAAAUAAAUAAUUAAUACCUGAUGAAUAUGUGGACAGGGGAUGGGUGGAUAUGUACAUUGUGUGCUAUACAUUUUAAUCAUACAAGUUAAAGACUGAAAAGUCAAAGCCUCACAUUUUAGGCUGUAAAAGUACAGUCUGUGACGGAAGUAAGUGGAUGUGAACCAGAAAUGUUCCAAGAGGCAUGUGAGGUGCUUUUAUAAAUGUGAUGACUCUUUGUUCUUCUGUGAAAACCUGUCACUAUUGCAAUCCAUUGUAACUCUGUUACUCUGUUAGACUCUGAGGAGAGGAACCACAAACUUUCCUAAUCCACCAUUUAAGCAUGAGUGACUGACAAUAACAGAGAUAUUAGAGAUUGUUGGUUAUCACUUAAACCACCGGUCUUACCUCACAACAUUCACUUUUGGCAAACAAUAUCAUGAUGGAGCAAGACUUGGUUUUUGCACUGACUCUGGAUGAUUUAAUACCUAUGAUCAUUUAUUGAUUAACUUAAAUAGUUUAGUUUAUGUUUUUACUCAUAUUUAACUACAUUUAUAUGUAUGUUUACAUUAUUUACAUGGCAUAGACUUUGCUGUACACUAAGUAAACAAAACUUCAUAGACUAGUGCAAACUAUUGGUAUAGUAUAAAUAUAAAUGUCUCUGAAUGUGCGAACAAACAUUUUGAGUUUUGAUCAUGUAGCAGUUUACCAUAAACCUCGAUACAGAUCGCCAUCCGAUAUCAGUAAAACGCGCUCAAGUCCUCUUCGAUGUGGGCUGUCAGACGACUUAUCAAACACUCGUUUGGCACCUUUGUGCUACUUUUGUUUAGUCAUCACUCAUAUAACCACUGUCUCUCUCCACAGGCAAAAAGAAACAGCAGCAGGGGAGAAUUCCCAUGCUGCUGGAGGUGAUGCUGCGGAGCAGCCGAGACAACCCACCAAUCACAGAGAGACAAUGACUGAUCUUCCUGGCCGCCUUACAGAACAUCAGUCAAACUGAGCUUUGUUAGCGCUGCAUUCCUGUGCAUUGUCCUCCUGUUUGCACUCUGCGACAAAACAAUGUUCAUUUCAUCUAUAUCACACGUGAUUCUAGGAUUUUCCUACUGUACACGCAUCCUUCCUCCGAUGCCGUAAUCUGUCCAUUUGUCUCAGGUGUGGUUUGACUAAAAGGUUUGAACACUGAUUUCUGUGGCAGCAGGAAUCAAUGGCCGCAGUCUACUUUGUGUGGGUCUGUCACAUUAGCACAGUGUUUUAAUUAAACUGAAGGAGACGUGCAGGAAGACAGGGGGACAAUGACUGAUCCCCAGGCUGCCGGACACGACGUUGUUCAGACAGAGCUUUGUUAGCACUGCCUGCCUUUGAAUUGUCCUGUCUACAACCGCUUAAUCAAAGGAUGCCAAUUAUAUCUCAGUCAUUUAGACAUAGAAUAUUAUGAACUACAUGACUGAUUAUUUGUCUUUGUAAAAACAUAGUUGAAACUCUACUCUGAUAACUGUGCAUAGUGCACAAACUGACCAGCCAAACCUUUAGCACUUACUUUAUGUAUUAGUGCAAGUGUGACAUUUUCCUUACAGUAUCAUAUUUGACAGCAGUUUGAGGGAUCAGUAUGUGUGAACAUUUGUUGGGAGAACACUUUCAGCCUAAUGAACAUGAAGAUACAAGCUGUCUCAACCAAACAACAUUAUGCCGAUGCGCAGGAGCGCGCAUGGACGAGGUGUAGUGCGACUUCUAAACUCAUUCAUGAAGUUAUCCGAGGAGAGGAGAGCCUAGACAGCAGGAGAAUGAAAAACUCGUUAAGCUAUUUUUUCUUCUUUCUUUUUUUCUUCUGGCAGACAAGCUCAGGCAACUGUGACUGUGUGUGUUUCUCUCUGUGUGUGUCCUGCCCUCUCUAUUCUGUAGACUGGCAGGGAAGUUGAUACGACUGAGAUAGGAAUGUCAGCGCAGGAUCAACACCCCUGCUGGUGGACACCAGUUGGGGGUCGGUCUCCUCUGGGACGCAUCUAAAUGUGUGUGUUUGAUAAGACAUGUGAAUAAGUGUGUGUGUGUGUGUGUGUGUGUGUGUGUGUGUGUGUGUGUGUGUGUGUGUGUGUGUGUGUGUUAUAGGGCCAGUGUCUGGGCCGUUUUGGGGGGAAGGGAGGUUAGAGCGGUGACAGGCUCAGCUGUGUUGAAUUGUGGGAGAAAAGAGCUGACGCGACGGGAGUUGAUGUCUGACAUGACCCCUCUCAGCAGGCACACCGCAGGGAGCUGGGAGCUGCCGCUGACUGAGUGUGUUUUUUGUGUCAACGUGUAUUUGUGUAAGUGGGAAAGUGAAGGAGAGACGAUGAGUUAUAAAGUGAGGAGCAACAACAACAGCAACAACAAAAAGGACGUUUCUUUUCGUCGCCCUGGUCCACUUUCACCACCAAUCCUGAUUUCUCUGACAUUCAGGGCAGAGUCCGGCUCUCCGUGAAACACCACCUUGAUGGAUGUGACACUGGACUUCUCCCGCGGUGUAACCCAAUCUUCUCCGGCCUUUCCUUCCUCCACCUUCCAUUUUCUCUCCCUCCAUAUCAUAUACCCCUCCUUGACCUUCUCGCUCUUUGUUGGUGUCCCCGUGCUCCCUCCUUCCCUCUCGCUCUGCCCUGCUCAGUCUCACCUGAGGCUUCAUUCAGGCUGGUAAAGUGAUCUUCGGGUCUAUGCUGCUGCGCUGCAGCUCGUUGUGCUUCCAUUCAAAUCCAUUUCUCUUUGCCCGUUUUUGCGCUUCACAUUUUUUCCUGUCUCAUCUGUAUUUGUAUCGUCCGUCAAUUCUUUCUUUCCUCAUUUUCUUCCAUAUCAGUCAAAACAUACACACACACACACACACACACACACACUCCAUCCCUUUCUAUUCACUGUCUCUCCUCUCUGGGUCCAGCACUUUGCCAUCAGUCUUCUGAUAAGUGCCCACAAAGCCCCCACUGUCUAGUGUGACCCUCUAUUCUUCUCCCAUCCUCUCUCUCUCCCUCUCUCUCUCCUUCUCUCUCCAUCCUGGAGCAGCCAAGCGUGAGGUAAAAGAGGAGGGGCAGUUUAUCUUGUGCACACACCCCAACUUGUUUUACCUUCACCCCUUCUUCUACUUUCCUCUCGUUCCCUCCAUCAAACUUUUUUGCCCUUACUCAUUUUAACUUCCAGCCACGACCUCUGCCUUUGAAGAACUUUCUGUCGUUCUUACUCUGGUCUCCGUCUGACUUUCCUCGGUCUGCAGGGAAGCCUUGCCCCUCCUCCCGCCCGCGCUCACAAUGGAUGCUGAUGCUUUUAAUGUGGGACAAUGGGGCAGAUCUGAAAGGUUAGCCAGCCCUUUGCACUGUAUCCCCAUGCACUCUCCACCCUCCACUGAUCCUUCUCUUUUCCCCCCACUGUCACCUACACCUGCCUCUCAUCUUGAUCCUUUAAUUCUUGUAAAUUUCUUAUUAUUUCUGUUUCUCCCCCUUACUGAUGUUGUUUCGGGAUCAUGUGCAAAAGGGAUGCAGCUAACAUGAAAAGCCUCAUGUGAUCAUACAUUUUGCUCGUAACAGAGAUCUGAUAACAAUAUGACCUAGUUCACGCCAACAAAAGAACUGCAUCAUCUCUAUAGUGAGAAUUUAAAAAAAAAAAAGCUACAGUCGGCCAACAAAAAAAGACGGCCCCCCAUAUUUUCCUGCAGCGCAAUGUGACAUCACCUGGCUGUGCAUCACAUGGGCCGAUCAUUUAUUGCAUGAUACAUUCAAGCAGAGGCACACUGGUGUACCAUUUAUGAACGUGUAAGACAACCUCAAAGAGGAGCCCGUCACAGUUGCUGAAUGAAAUGAUUUAGCCGUCAAACUCAUGGAUUUAUCACUGGAACUGAACAAUAGAGAUUUUUGAAAGUCACUCGACUCAUUCAGUCAGACUUUUCUUUUUUAGAACAAAUUUAAACUGCCUUCCAGAGUUUACACCACUGAAAAUGGCAUCUUUCUUCACCUCUGUUCGCAACCUAGUCCUGUCUGUGACUUCUUAUUUAAUAAAAAACUUUUUCAAGUUCAA